AAAAUGCUCUCCACCGAGUAUGGUGAGCAAGGACCAGAUGAAAGUCUGCCUGCUGGAAGAGACUUCUUGACAGCUUCCUACGUGUCGGCCGAUCGCUCCAUGGGACUUGGCUUCUGAGAACCAGCCAGCAGCAGGCGGUGACGCUGAAGUGUGCGUGUGUGAAGCUGGAGAUACGGCCGGGGUGACUCGGAGGAGCUUCUCCACACCGCAGGCAUGAGGGG
rnacentral:lncRNA from 1 species